GUAGAUAUAGUUUAAACAAAACAUUAGAAUGUGGGCCUAAAAAUAGGAACUCACUCACUCCUUAUCUACC
rnacentral:tRNA from 1 species